rfam:Canis lupus familiaris chromosome 28, whole genome shotgun sequence.
GCCUGGGUGGCUCAGCGGUUGAGCACCUGCCUUUGGCUCAGGGCAUGAUCUCAGGGUCCUGGGAUCAAGUCCCACAUCGGGCU